GUGAUGGUGGUAUAGUGGUGAGUAUAGCUGCCUCCCAAGCAGUUGACCCGGGUUCGAUUGCCGGCCAUCGUA